AGGAUAAUAGUUAAAUAUAACAUUUAAUUUGCAUUUAAAAAGUAUUGACUACUCAAUUUAUCUUA
rnacentral:tRNA from 1 species